rnacentral:rRNA from 2 species
CGCGAAGAACCUUACCUGGUCUUGACAUCCACAGAAUUUCUUAGAAAUAAGAAAGUGCCUUUUAGGAACUGUGAGACAGGUGCUGCAUGGCUGUCGUCAGCUCGUGUUGUGAAAUGUUGGGUUAAGUCCCGCAACGAGCGCAACCCUUGUCCUUUUUUGCCAGCGGUUCGGCCGGGAACUAAAAGGAGACUGCCGGUUAUAAACCGGAGGAAGGUGGGGACGACGUCAAGUCAUCAUGGCCCUUACGACCAGGGCUACACACGUGCUACAAUGGUAUAUACAAAGAGAAGCAAAUUCGCGAGAAUAAGCAAAUCUCAUAAAGUAUAUCUUAGUUCGGACUGGAGUCUGCAACUCGACUCCACGAAGUCGGAAUCGCUAGUAAUCGUGAAUCAGAAUGUCA